UGUUCGGUUGCGAUCCGAUAUUUGUCGGUUUUUGCCCGUCACAUCAAAGGAUGUUCGCCGUGGCUCGGAUAACAGUCUGGACGUCGCUGCGAACACUUCCUGCGAACAUUCAGUUGUCGACGUGGAGCGGUGUUGUCUUCACGGAGUUAGUAGCGGCGCGUGACUCUUUUGUUAUAUGAGAAUGGAGUGGUCCAAGGAAGAUCAAAUAAAACUGAUAGAUUUGUAUAAACAACAAACAGUGAUAUGGGACCCAAACAAUGUUAAUCAUUUCAACAAAAUUAGAAAACAAGACGCGUGGGAAGAAAUCGGGGCCGAAAUGGACAGAGAUGUGGACGAAUGUAAGAAGAAAAUGGAGAGUUUGCUAUCAGCAUUAAGAAGGGAGAGGAAGAAAAUGAAAGACACUGCUGGAACUGGAAAAGGAACUGACGAAAUGUACAGAAGUUCCUGGUUCGCUUUCGAAAGUCUACGUUUCUUGCUGGACAAAAAUAAACCAAGAAAGACAAUUUCGACGAUGCGAGUAGAAAGCGAAGAGAGAGACGUAGAAUGUGGUGCAGUUGGAGAAUCAGCACAGGAAACUGUACCGAAAAAGAAGAAGCAGCGAGUCGAAGAUGCACGUCUGGACAAAGCCUUUCAUAUAUUGUCGUCCACCGCGAGUCAGCUUAACGAUGAGUGCCAACAUUUUGGAAAUUUGGUCGCAUCUAAGUUGAGACAGUACAACGUUGAUACUAGAUGUACAAUUGAAAAUGACAUUAUGGGUAUUUUCCUUCGCGCUAACAGGGGUUUCUACAAUAACACUCAGAAUUUUAUACAACCACACUAUCCAUGUCAUUUUCCAUCGGACAACUCUGUCAUGCAGUCAAACACUGUAUUGUCCAACCCUACAACCCCGUGUCCUUCAGCAGGAUCACCUACCUUGACGUCUGAUGAUGAUGAUUUCAUUAUUCACGAUCUCUUAUAAAAUAUUUUUGUUUUA